GUGUUUGCUUCGGCAGCACAUAUACUAAAGUUGGCAAAAUACAGAGAAGAUUAGCAUGGCCCCUGUGCAAAGAUGACACACAAAUUCAUGAAGCAUUCCAUAUCAUA